CCAGGACUCAGGCAAAACCCAGCUGUCCCUGGCGCUGUCUCCCAACAGCCCUGCAGGGCCCAGUGCUGGACCAGGGCCUUGUCUCCAGCCUCUCCCCCAUGGGACUCUGGGGCCUUUGGGGGCCCUUGGGGGCCUUCCUGCACCCUCACACCUACUCAUCUCUGGACUCAGCCUCAGUGUGAAUGCUCACCUCGGGCUGAGCCAACCCCUCCAGACACGUUCUGCAGCUCGAGGAAGGAACUGCCCUUUGCAGCUGGGAUCUGCCCGAGUUUCAGCAGCAGCCUUGAAUUGUAAUCCCGAGCGGCUGGCGAAUAACACAGCACACAGCACUCGAGAGCCCAGACCACCCUGGCCUGCCACACCCCCAUCCUAUGACUAUAAAAACUCGCGAGACCCUGGCAGGCACGCACAAGCUGCUGGACGUGGAGAGGAGCGGAUUGGCAGAGGAGCACUCAGGCGGCUGGACGUCGAGAGGAACGCACUGACGGGCGCCGGCACCCCGGCAGGCUACCAACCGGCAGCAGAAUGACCUGGAGUUUGGCUGGGGCAGCCAGAGGAGAGCCCGGGCCCGACUCCAGGGGAAAACCGUCCCACUCCAUCUUCUUCUGCCUUCCCCCAUCUGCUACCUCCACUCAAUAAAACCUUGCACUCAUUCUCCGAGC
rnacentral:lncRNA from 10 species